AUACGGAGGAUGCAAGCGUUAUCCGGAUUUAUCGGGUUUAAAGGGUGCGUAGGCGGUUUGCUAAGCGGGAGGUGAAAUGCCGGCGCUCAACGUCGGAAGUGCCUCCCGAACUGGUGGACUGGAAUGACUCUGCCGUGGGAGGAAUGUGUAGUGUAGCGGUGAAAUGCUUAGAGAUUACACAGAACACCGAUUGCGAAGGCAUCUCACGAAGGGUUGAUUGACGCUGAGGCACGAAAGCGUGGGGAUCAAACAGGAUUAGAUACCCUGUUAGUCCACGCAGUAAACGAUGAUGGCUAACCGCUGGUUUAUUCGGAUCAGUGGCCAAGCGAAAGCGAUACGCCAUCCACCUGGGGAGUACGACCGCAAGGUUGAAACUCAAAGGAAUUGACGGGG
rnacentral:rRNA from 1 species